GUGGGAGGGGGCUUGCCCCCGAUAGCGAUGGGUCAGUCAGCUCAUCUGUGGCUGAUGUGCCGCAAUCGGGGGCAAGCCCCCUCCCAC
rnacentral:misc_RNA from 1 species